rnacentral:rRNA from 1 species
UUUCUUUGCUGAGAGUGGCGGACGGGUGAGUAAUGCUUGGGAAUCUGGCUUAUGGAGGGGGAUAACUGUGGGAAACUGCAGCUAAUACCGCGUAUUCUCUGAGGAGGAAAGGGUGGGACCUUAGGGCCACCUGCCAUAAGAUGAGCCCAAGUGGGAUUAGGUAGUUGGUGGGGUAAAGGCCUACCAAGCCUGCGAUCUCUAGCUGGUCUGAGAGGAUGACCAGCCACACUGGAACUGAGACACGGUCCAGACUCCUACGGGAGGCAGCAGUGGGGAAUAUUGCGCAAUGGGGGGAACCCUGACGCAGCCAUGCCGCGUGAAUGAAGAAGGCCUUCGGGUUGUAAAGUUCUUUCGGUAAUGAGGAAGGGAUGUUGUUAAAUAGAUAGCAUCAUUGACGUUAAUUACAGAAGAAGCACCGGCUAACUCCGUGCCAGCAGCCGCGGUAAUACGGAGGGUGCGAGCGUUAAUCGGAAUAACUGGGCGUAAAGGGCACGCAGGCGGACUUUUAAGUGAGAUGUGAAAUCCCCGAGCUUAACUUGGGAACUGCAUUUCAGACUGGGAGUCUAGAGUACUUUAGGGAGGGGUAGAAUUCCACGUGUAGCGGUGAAAUGCGUAGAGAUGUGGAGGAAUACCGAAGGCGAAAGCAGCCCCUUGGGAAUGUACUGACGCUCAUGUGCCGAAGCGUGGGGAGCAAACA